rnacentral:rRNA from 1 species
CCUACGGGAGGCAGCAGUGAGGAAUAUUGGUCAAUGGGCGCGAGCCUGAACCAGCCAAGUAGCGUGAAGGAUGACUGCCCUACGGGUUGUAACCUUCUUUUAUAAAGGAAUACAGUCAGUCACGUGUGCCUUUUUGUAUGUACUUUAUGAAUAAGGAUCGGCUAACUCCGUUCCAGCCGCCGCGGUAAUACGGAGGAUCCGAGCGUUAUCCGGAUUUAUUGGGUUUAAAGUGAGCGUAGAUGGGUUGUUAAGUCAGUUGUGAAAGUUUGCGGCUCAACCGUACAAUUGACAUUGCUACUGGCAGACUGGAGUACAGUAGAGGUAGGCGGAAUUCGUGGUGUAGCAGUGAAAUGCGUAGAUAUCACGAGGAACUCCGAUUGCGAAGGCAGCCUACUAAACUGCCACUGACAUUGAUGCUCGAAAGUGUGGGUAGCAAACAGGAUUAGAUACCCCUGUAGUC